AUGUUCUUGGUGGAUGCAGGCCCUGGUACCCCCAAAAUUUGUAUGCAAGAUGAGCUUACAGGACUGCCAAUCAAGCGAGCCACCAGGUUUGAGAAUAAGGUGGGAUCCAAGAAUGUAGUGGUUGGUGAAUCACUGAUCAAAAAGCGGAUUUUUGAGAGAUUCUUCAUCGAUCUAGUGGCCGGUGAAUCACUGAUCAAAGAGUGA
rnacentral:rRNA from 1 species